GGGGGUGACAGGCUUCGACUUUGGUCGUCGAGGUAGGUGAAGCGAGCCGUGGUCUCCGGAUCCACGUAAAAGAGUCGGAAACAUAAAAUAAACGACGAGUCACAACUCGCCCUUGCCGCUUAAUAAGUAGGCAACGUUCAGCCGCUCUUAGUUCCACGGAGUGAUUCUGAGCGACGACUAGUGGGACUUACUUAGGUUGUCCAUCCCAAAGGCAAUCAAAGGAAAUCAAAUUGGGAUAAGCCAUCGGGUAAUCGAUAGAAGUUAUCCGUGGUCGACAAUUCUUCUCUAUCUGCGCUCGGAGAAGCCCUACUAAGAAGCUGAAGGACGCGGGUUCAAUUCCCGCCACCUCCACUU
rnacentral:tmRNA from 1 species